rnacentral:rRNA from 1 species
UACGAGUAGUGCGAGUGUUAUUCCCCGUGACUGGGCGUAAAGGGUGCGUAGGCGGGUCUUUAAGUCAGGGGUGAAAUCCUGGAGCUCAACUCCAGAACUGCCUUUGAUACUGAGGAUCUUGAGUUCGGGAGAGGUGAGUGGAACUGCGAGUGUAGAGGUGAAAUUCGUAGAUAUUCGCAAGAACACCAGUGGCGAAGGCGGCUCACUGGCCCGAUACUGACGCUGAGGCACGAAAGCGUGGGGAGCAAACAGG